CACAUAUAUUCCUCUAAACACCUCAAAAUGAAUCAAAAAGCAUAGCUGUAAGACAAUACGCACCUUUUAACAAAGAAAACGCCCGUGCAAACCAGGCUGCUUUUUACCAAAAAACUAGCCCCCUCCCCUAAUAACAACAAACCAACAUCCAUACCCCCGAACACACCACCCACCCAUUUAACAAACCAUUUUACCCCCCUAGUAUAGGCGAUAGAAAAGGACCCGGAAGCAACAGAGAAAGUACCGCAAGGGAACGUUGAAAGAGAACUGAAACAACCCAGUUAAGUCUAACAAAGCAGAGAUUCUGGCUCGUACCUUUUGCAUCAUGAAUUAGCCAGUAAAAUCCAAGCAAAGUGCACUUUAGUUUGCCUUCCCGAAACUAAGUGAGCUACUCCAAGAUAGCCUAGUAAUAGGGCAAACCCGUCUCUGUGGCAAAAGAGUGGGAAAAGCUUCGAGUAGUGGUGACAGACCUAUCGAACUUAGUUAUAGCUGGUUGCCUGAGAACUGGAUAGGAGUUCAGCCUCUCGGCUUCUCCCCUCACAACCCCACCCUCUAACCCAUUAGACACCUAAAAGAAACCGAGAGAGUUAGUUUAAGGAGGUACAGCUCCUUAAACAUAAAACACAGCUUUCCCAGGAGGGUAAAGAUCACAAUUUAAAUAAGGAAUAAUAUCCCGGUGGGCCUAAAAGCAGCCAUCCACAUAGAAAGCGUUAAAGCUCAGACAUACCCCGUCUCCCCAUAUUCCGAUAACCCAGUCUUAUCCCCCUAAACCUAUCAGGCUGCCCCAUGCAAACAUGGGGGUAAUCAUGCUAAUAUGAGUAAUAAGAGAGUCCUCAGACCCUCUCCCCGCACAAGUGUAAAUUGGAACGGACUAUCCACCAAACCCUAACGGCCCCAAACAAAGAGGGAACUGAACAAUAAAUUAAACAACCAGAAGACCAUCCAAAAAUAAACCGUUAACCCUACACUGGCGUGCCCCCUUGGGAAAGGCUAAAAGAAAGAAAAGGAACUCGGCAAACACACCUAGCCUCGCCUGUUUACCAAAAACAUCGCCUCUUGCAAAAUCAACAAAUAAGAGGUCCCGCCUGCCCCGUGACUAUAUGUUCAACGGCCGCGGUAUUUUGACCGUGCAAAGGUAGCGAAAUCACUUGUCUUUUAAAUGAAGACCUGUAUGAAUGGCAUAACGAGGGCUUAACUGUCUCUUCUUUCCAAGCCAAUGAAAUUGAUCUCCCCGUGCAGAAGCGGGGAUAACUACAUAAGACGAGAAGACCCUGUGGAGCUUUAGACACCAAGGCAGAUUAUGUUAAACACCCCUAACUAACGGACUAAACUAAUUAAUCCCUGCCCUAUUGUCUUAGGUUGGGGCGACCGCGGGGAAAUAAUAACCCCCCAUGUGGAACAGGAGCACCCCUCCCACAGUUAAGAGCCUCCGCUCUAACAAACAGAACCUCUGACCAAACAUGAUCCGGCAACGCCGAUCAACGGACCAAGUUACCCCAGGGAUAACAGCGCAAUCCCCUUUUAGAGCCCAUAUCGACAAGGGGGUUUACGACCUCGAUGUUGGAUCAGGACAUCCUAAUGGUGCAGCCGCUAUUAAGGGUUCGUUUGUUCAACGAUUAAAGUCCUACGUGAUCUGAGUUCAGACCGGAGUAAUCCAGGUCAGUUUCCAUCUAUGAAAUGUGCUUUUCCAGUACGAAAGGACCGAAAAGUGGAGGCCCAUGCCCCAAGCACACCUCCCCCUUACCUAAUGAUAUCAACUCAAUUAGGUAAAAGGACAUGCCCCAUCCGCCGUAGAAAACGGCAA
rnacentral:rRNA from 1 species